CCUGGCUCUUAUUGAACGCUGGCGGCAGGCUUAACACAUGCAAGUCGAGCGGAAACGAUGGGAGCUUGCUCCCAGGCGUCGAGCGGCGGACGGGUGAGUAACACUUAGGAAUCUACCUAGUAGUGGGGGAUAGCUCGGGGAAACUCGAAUUAAUACCGCAUACGACCUACGGGAGAAAGGGGGCAGUUUACUGCUCUCGCUAUUAGAUGAGCCUAAGUCGGAUUAGCUAGAUGGUGGGGUAAAGGCCUACCAUGGCGACGAUCUGUAGCUGGUCUGAGAGGAUGAUCAGCCACACCGGGACUGAGACACGGCCCGGACUCCUACGGGAGGCAGCAGUGGGGAAUAUUGGACAAUGGGGGRAACCCUGAUCCAGCCAUGCCGCGUGUGUGAAGAAGGCCUUUUGGUUGUAAAGCACUUUAAGCAGUGAAGAAGACCUAACGGUUAAUACCCGUAUGCGAUGACAUUAGCUGCAGAAUAAGCACCGGCUAACU
rnacentral:rRNA from 1 species